GCGACAGAGUGGUGCCAGGGAUGGAAAUAAUAAAAAAAAUUAAAUGAACUACGAGAUCGGUGCAAACACAAGAAUGAUGAGCAAUUAUUCAACCGAGACACUGAGGUGCUACCUGAUGCGGAGUGGCAAGUGCCAUCAUCCUGUCAAGUGAGGGCUAUGGCAGACAGUUCGAUGGUGGAGGCUGACCCGACCUGUGAAGCGGAGGUUGACUUCCUCGCCCCCACUCCUCCGUCACGGGGAAAUCAAAACAGGCCGAGGAAGCAGCAUCUGUAGUGACAGAUAGAGGAAGUGUUCUGUCACUGGCAACAAGCCACUUCCCGUCGGACCUAUCAAUGCUGUCGCCUGUGGAAACUCUCUCACCUUCAACCAGUUCAGCCAAUCAAACAGCCUGUGAAAAGGCGGAUGACUUCCUCGCCCCC